CUCACAGAUAGGCCAGACAAGCAGAGGCAGACGAGGACGGCGAGAAAAGGAAACCCGUGAGAGGGCCGUCGUCGUGUGUGUGCGUGUGUGUGUGCGCUACUGUCCCCUUUCGUCGCAGGCUGCUGCUGCUGCUGCUGCUGUUGUUGGUGCUGCUGCUGCUGCAGCUGCUGUUGCUGUUGUUGUCGUUCCAGACACAUGAAAUCCAACUGGGGCGGCGCCUUGUGGUAAACCGCGCAACCACACGCGACAAGAGACUGCUGGUGUCCACUUUUCUUUUUUUGCCAUAUUUAUUCGUUUCUUUUUUUUAAUUCCUUUUUUUCGGUAAAGGUUUGUUCUUUUUUUUUUAGUUGUGGGCUCUUUGGAUCCUAGUUUUGUUUUGUAAGCAUUGUUUACAUUCGCGCUGAAGAAUUCGUGUCAUUUGAGUUUCCCUAACUGGAGUUACGGGCGGUUUCCCAUAUUCUGGAUAGACUGUGCCAUUCACACGUUGGAAGUCCGCGGCUCAACUUCACGUAAGGCUGCUUUUGGAAUCCUAGACAAGGUGUCUGUCCUUCCCGCCUUCAGUAUUAGCCACGGGUUAUCGGACGCCAUUUCCUAGAGGAGCUACGAUCAAGACAGCACUCGUUGACCUCACAGAAAUACGCGUGGGUGGAUGAUAGCUUACGUCAUCAGGACAAAAGUGUAUGCACAUCUAUAGCGCGGUGACAUAAUUUAAUGAACGAAGUUGAUCAGUAAUCAAGCACACCAUAAGUAGACAGCUUGAUAGUAUCGUUUAUCGUAGAGAAUAUCCUUCAACUUCAACCCAGAGAGUGUGUCUGCACACACUGUUUUUCAAACGCAUCAAUAGAGUUCUAUACUCAUCAAAGGUGUCUCACGAAAGAAACUCUGCUUGCAAUCAGCUGUCAAUGCGUGUGUAGUUUUUCGUAGGCUAACAGAGAGUGUGUCUUCCAAUGAUCAAGAGAAAAUGAUGGCGGAUUAGCACCUCAAGGAGCCAGAGUGACCAACCACCAGCAGCGCAUGCGCAGCCCUGAGUAGGGGGCUUGCACGAUCUAUUUUGUCGGAAAUUCAUGAGGUUUCCUGAAUUGUGCUUAGUCACAGUUUGGAUUGUACGCGACGACAAGCGACUGGAAGUGGGAGUGGCGGAGUAACAAGGUCAAGGCGCAAUGUCUGCUGCACGGAUAUCACAAUGCUGGCUGCUCCUGGCCAUCGCUGCCGCCGCACACUCGCGUGAGUACCACACGUUAUUGUUAGUUAAUAUUAUCAAAUUUGUUUCAAAGCAUAAUACAAAGACAAUGAUUGCUAUGUAUUUAUUUGUUGUUGUUGAUAUUUUCGGUGGGUUUUUUUUAAUGAGUUUUUAAAAACAUUUUUGUUCCUUUUUUAUAUUUUUAUCAACGUAUUUCCACGUUUUUUUAGUGUUUGUUUUGGGGUUUUUUGCUUGUCUACUUUAAGAUGUUUGUUUCUGUGCCGUUCUUGUCAGUAUGAAUUAUCUGCAUCCCC